GAAAAGAUUGUCUUUUAGCUUUUAAAGGAAAAAGAGAAAAUAGAUAUUGUUAGGUAUCUGGAAUAAAUGAGUUCCUGAAGUGAAGAUUUAGAUUUGUCCCAGAGUCUCCAAGCAGCUUGGGCAAAAGGGAAAUAUUUUGGUUGAUGCAGUUUUUACUUUUUGUCAUGAGGAAGCUUAGGGCAGUGGUUCUCAAAGUGAAGUCCCUGGACCAGUGGUGUCAGCAUCCCCUGAGAACUACCUAGAAAUGCAGAUUUCUUAGGCUCCUCCUCAGGCCCACUGCCUUAGAAACUCUGGGGGUGAUUCUGAUUCACACUGAAAUCUGAGAACCACUGGCUUUGGAAUUUGCACACGGAGGUUUGCCCUGAAUUCUGCCCUGAAUGGGAGCUUACCAUUAGCAGUCUUGUUCGUAAAACAGAGGAUAAUAAGGUGAGUGGAAGUUUUCAUUAUUGUUCUUUAAUAAAAAGCACUGAUAACAGUGGAGCAAGUUGGUCGUUUCUUUCGGCCAUUGGCUCUGGCAUGCGCUGGAGGCAGAGAUGCUGAGGGUCCACCCUCGAUAGCCUCUAUGCUGGCUGCUGGUUCCAUCCAGGCCACCACGAACCCGAUCAGGUGGACAGAGUAUCUCUUCUUACUUUAUUGCUUGGAAAAUUGUGGCUCAGGGAGCAAAAGCAGAGCUGUGUUUCAGUCAUCGGCCUGCUGCUUGAGGGCAUCGUAGGGUCACGAUGGGGGUGCAGUGAGAAUGCUUGUACAGAUGUUUACAGCUCUCAAGCAAUACUGCAUGUGGGUGCCCUCACUGUGGCUUGAGACAUCAGAUUGUGUCAGCUUGGUUUGGUUUGCAUGCCUGGGAACUGUGUUGUCCUGGUGGUCAGCUACCUGCCUAAUAGCAGGUUACCGGGAAACCACGUGAAGCAAUAAAAUGCAACAGCAAGGUAUGGAUUACGUAACAGGCAGGCUGAGUGGUUCUGAAGGAUUCUGUGCUGUGGGCCUGAUGCUUUGCAUUGUGAAUCCUGUUUCUGACGCCCCAGGGCCCAUGGAGAACGGCCAGGGGGUAGAGUGCCCAUGUGAUGAAUGCCAGCCAACAGUGUACUUGCGGUGCCUUCACCUUGCAAGCAGGGUUCUUUUGUAAUUAGCUCUCGAAUGACACCAACCCUGCCCCCAAAAUGGGUGCUCUGCAGUGAUUAAGGGCUGGUGUUAGCUGUACCAGGGAGAUACCGCUGUGGGAGGGGCCUGUUUGGUGCCUGUGAAACAUUAGAUGCUAUUUAAAGUGAUAGCAGUUUUUAGCUGGCUACUUGGCCUCUGCCAUCUGUUAGUGUGAUUAGGCUGGUCUGAUUCACAGGUGCAGCCUGGGGCGGCUGAGAUUAAGCAGCUGUGGCCUGUGUGGACAGAGGAAUGCCAUGGCCGGGGUAAUUGGCAAGGCGGGAAAGGGGACGUUGCCAUUAAAACAAUUUUUUGCCACCUCAAGUGUCAAAUGCUGACCCGAUUAAUAGGGAAAAUUGCAGAAGCACCAAAUUCCUUGCAUUUUCAGCCACCUGGAAAAUACCCAUAUGUCCAGAUCGGUUUCUUUGCUGCCUUCUGAUUGUCUGGAAAUGCCACUGGGGUGUGUUUGAAUGUUUUUCUGUAGGGACAUUGACAAAUGAUGCUCCAGUGACCCUGUGUUGAUGGUGACAUUUUUGGGCUUUUCAAAGGUUUUUUUUUUGGAUUGAGACAUUGAAAAUUUAGUUCUGUAUCUUCCAGUUGGAAAAACAUAUUACAGGUUAUUCCCUCUGCUGAUAAGCUAGAUUACUGAUCUGGUGGUUAAUAUAAGAAGUCAAGCUCAGCUGCCUGCUAGAGUUCUUUUUAGAUUCUGUACAGAGUGCAAAAAGCUUGGGCGCCAAAUGCA